GGGUUGUGAGGUUAAGCGACUAAGCGUACACGGUGGAUGCCCUGGCAGUCAGAGGCGAUGAAGGGCGUGCUAAUCUGCGAUAAGCGCCGGUAAGGUGAUAUGAACCGUUAUAACCGGCGAUACCCGAAUGGGGAAACCCAGUGUGACUCGUCACACUAUCAUUAACUGAAUCCAUAGGUUAAUGAGGCGAACCGGGGGAACUGAAACAUCUAAGUACCCCGAGGAAAAGAAAUCAACCGAGAUUCCCCCAGUAGCGGCGAGCGAACGGGGAGGAGCCCA
rnacentral:rRNA from 1 species